rnacentral:lncRNA from 1 species
GCAGCUUGGACACCAACCCGGCAGCCUUCUCCGUCUUCGGCGACGAUGCCGCCGGCUUCCAGCCGCUGAACGCCGAGGACGUCCGCUCCUACCUCCACAAGGCCGUCGACUUCAUCUCCGACUACUACAAGUCCCUCGAGUCCCUGCCCGUGCUCCCCGACGUCAAGCCGGGGUACCUGCAGAACGAGCUGCAGGCGGCGCCGCCCACCAGCUCCGCCCCCUUCGACGUCGCCAUGAAGGAGCUCAGGGCCUCCGUCGUCCCCGGCAUGACCCACUGGGCCAGCCCCAACUUCUUCGCCUUCUUCCCCUCCACCAACAGCGCCGCUGCCAUCGCCGGCGACCUCAUCGCCUCGGCGAUGAACACCGUCGGGUUCACUUGGCAGGCCAACCCCGCCGCCACCGAGAUGGAGGUCCUCGCGCUCGACUGGCUCGCCCAGCUCCUCCGCCUCCCCGCGAGCUUCAUGAACCGCACCGCCGCCGGCCGCGGCACCGGCGGCGGCGUCAUCCUCGGCACCACCAGCGAGGCCAUGCUCGUCACGCUCGUCGCCGCGCGCGACGCCGCGCUGCGCCGGAGCGGGUCGGAGGGCGUCGCCGGCCUGCCGCGCCUCGCCGUCUACGCCGCCGACCAGACCCACUCCACCUUCUUCAAGGCGUGCCGCCUCGCCGGCUUCGACCCGGCCAACAUCCGCUCCAUCCCCACCGGCCCGGAGACGGACUACGCCCUCGACCCGGCGAAGCUCCUCGAGGUCAUGGAGGCCGACGUCGCCGCCGGCCUCGUGCCGACCUACAUCUGCGCCACCGUCGGCACCACCUCCUCCAACGCCGUCGACCCCGUCGGAGCCAUCGCCGACGCCGCCGCGCUGUUCAACGCGUGGGUGCACGUCGACGCCGCCUACGCCGGCAGCGCGUGCAUCUGCCCGGAGUUCCGGCACCACCUCGCCGGCGUCGAGCGCGUCGACUCCAUCAGCAUGAGCCCGCACAAGUGGCUGCUGACGUGCCUCGACUGCACCUGCCUGUGGGUCCGCGACACGCACCGGCUCACCGACUCGCUGGAGACCAACCCGGAGUACCUCAAGAACGACGCCAGCGACUCCGGCGCCGUCACCGACCUCAAGGACAUGCAGGUCGGCGUCGGCCGCCGAUUCCGGGGGCUCAAGCUCUGGAUGGUCAUGCGCACAUACGGCGCCGCCAAGCUCCAGGAGCACAUCCGCAGCGACGUUGCCAUGGCCAAGAUGUUCGAGGAAAAUGUCAGGUCCGAUGACAGGUUCGAGGUCGUCGUGCCGAGGAACUUCGCCCUUGUCUGUUUUAGGAUCAAGCCUCACGGCGGCAUGACGGAGGAGGACGCUGACGAGGCCAACCAUGAGCUCAUGGAACGCCUGAACAGGACCGGGAAGGCGUACCUGGCGCACACGGUGGUCGGCGGCAAGUUCGUGCUGCGGUUCGCGGUGGGGUCGUCGCUGCAGGAAGAGAGGCACGUCCGGAGUGCGUGGGAGCUCAUCAAGAAGACGACCGCUGAGAUCAUGCAGGAUUAGAUCGUUGUGGACUAGAAUAUGCAAGUAUAUAUAGAACACAUAUAUUUGAUUCUUUGUUGAUUUUCUGGAAGGUCCAAUGAAGGACAAUAUCUUUGUUGAAGAGAUAUGGUUGUCUAAGAAGAGGUAAUGUAAUUCUAGGUAUUAUUGAAAGGGGAAUACACACAGUUAAUGUCCCACGCACGCAUAAAAUUUGCGUGAAAAAUCAUAUGACUUAUAAUUUACCAAAUUUAAAUAAUAUUUUGAACUAUUUGAUUUACCAACCGCUACUAAAAGAUUGUUUUAGUACCAGGUGAGUUACCUGCGUUGGGAACUUUAGUCCCAAAUUCGUACUACCGGUCCAACAAUCGGGAUUAAUGGGGUUUAGAUUCGUUAGUAGGGACUUUUCCUGUACUGACGUGUGUCACACGAAACAUGAGAAACUGACCUGUCUUUGGAAUGAACUAUACAAUUUUCAUAAAGAAAGUUUAUCAAUUCCAAGAUUAUUACUAAAACUUUAAAACACUCUUGGACUCUACAUAACCGGAUUAUACACAAGCGCGUACCUUAAGCAAAAUCUGAGGAGCUCUAAUUUUACGGUGCACAAUACUAGGCUAUACUAGUAUUCGAAAAGGACUAGUAUAAAAAUAUCUGAUGAUCAAGAUUAAUAAUUGUAUACUACUGAAAAUUUCACAUACGGUAUAGGUAAUGGUAUUAUGGUAAAAGAACACAAAAUGACAUCACUAUGAUAUUUUUUUGAUACUAGUAUAAAGUCUACAAGUCCAUUCUAUUUGGAAUCUCACUUCUUACAAUGUAAUAAUUACUAAAUUACUUAUAAUAGUGAACGGUUAGAUCUUCCCUAUACUAAAAUAUACCACUAAGUGGUAGUAUUGUGUACCGUAAAAAAGCUCAACCUAAGAGAUGACACGUCUUAAAAGUUAGCAGAAUUUUUGACGCCUGUAAUGGUGAAAAUUAGCUAAAAUUUUUGAGUGAAGGUCUGUGACCUUACUGUCUUGAAAAUGCCCCCCCCCCCUCCCCUAAUUAUGCACAUCCAUACAGCAGAGAGUAGAAGAUUUUGACACACUUGUACCAUUCAAUCCGUAGAUUAGGUUGCCACACAUGUUAGCUUGUUUCAAAUGAGAGUCAAUGUACGAAACCAAUGAAGAACCGGUAAAUAUCAGGAAAGAGAAAAAUUCAAGCUUCUUUUUAAAUACCUCAUCACCACAUAGGUCAGUUGAGCUUGUGCACGUAACUGGAUAUACGUGCCCUAGAAGCACUCAACCAGUAGAAGCAGACACAUGCACAGUGACACUUGUGUUCUGGAUCGAUAGCUACGUGAGCAACAUGUUACAACACACAUGCAUGUGAUCAACGCAUUAUAUUGACUAGCUAAAACCCCAGUACCGACGUUGGUGAGCACGGAAAGUGACGGAUGGACUCACGUAGGAGAUGAACCUGAAGUCGCAUGCGUUUUCUGGUAGCUACGGAGCUCUACCUCGCGAGCUAGAGUCUAGAGAUCGACGACGACGACGCCGUGUCGCCGCCCGGCCGGCGGAGGAUUGCAGGCGUCGAACGCGACCAUAGGACUAGGAGUACGUGCAGACGAUGGGUCAAUUCAGCAGCUUUGCAUCUAGCAAAAUAUCCGUGGGUUGCUCCGGUGAAAUGUGGUUGUAUAUUCUAAAACUCGUGUAUUUUUAUUUCUACUACUAUAUUUUAUUAUAACGGAUCUUUAUGCAUUUGCUAGAAGAUCAAUAGAAUUUUGACUUAACAUACUUGUUCUACUUAUACUUAUUACACUUUUUAUUACUUAUUACACUUUUUAUUUAAGAAAGUGAUUCCUAAUAACAAAAAUAGGUACAUACUUGUACCAUGCAACCAUUCUAAUUUUAAUCUUAGAGUAUGUGAGGAUUAUAUUUCAUACAUGGUUCAGUCUAGCAAGCAUCACAAUUGUGCGAGCGUGGUCUACAUGCAUUAUUAGCAAGGGUGGACCUAUUUCUCCGACAUGCACCUACGCUACUCGGCGUGCAACAUUUUCUAACCUCAUGUACUACCUCCGUCCCAAUUUAACUGCAUUUGUAUAGUUCAAAAAAAGGUCCCAAAAUAAACACACAAGCUGGAGCCUAUCGGUCCAAUGAUGUUCCAGUCUGUUGCGCAUACUGUAGCCCCAUCUGUAAAAAAAGCCUGAAGCACCCAUAUAUCAGCCGUCCGCAUAAAAAGUUAAAACGUUCUUGUUUCUUCUCCACAGCUCGUUCCGAUUUUUCCCCACCACUCGCAUCACCGCUAGCUUCUGCUUGCCUCGCAUCCAACGCUCUUUCCUAUGUUGUCAUUUGCUGUCCAUACUAAUUUUUCUUUCAAAUCCUUCCAGUGCACUUGUACUGGGACGAAGGUAGUAAAUUUAUAUUCUAGUAUGUAUCGACUCCCAUACAUGUUAUGUCUCUUUAACAUCGAUAAAUGAUCCUAAAGUUUGCAAACUAAAUAGCUAAUUUGAGCUAAAAAAAUGCGUAUAUGUACAUUCAUUGCAUGCUAAUUUUUUUACCUCCCAUGAACAGCUGACCUUUCUAUAUGGGUUAUAGUACAAUUCAACAAAACCUUCAUUCUGAUGAAUCUAGCUAGGUUCCUGUUCUCACUUUCUUUUUUGUUCACACCUAUGUGCACCGUACCGCCAACAACUGAAUUUGGAAUCAAACUUGGGAUCUCUUGGGCCGGGCACUACUGAGGUCCUGCUGACCAAUCGGUCACUCACUUCUAAGAACUGUUAGAGCUCAAGCUUGGGGUGGACUGUAGUGGUUGCACGUAUGACAUCUUGUUUCAACUUUUGUUUUAGCCUAUAAACUCUAGAUCGUGUAAGAACUGAAGCACUUUAGUUUAGCCCGUAAUUUUGGAGCAGACAGUCUGUAUAAGACCAUUUUUUACUCCCGUAUGAUUUUUGAAAGAAAUGCAUGGUCUAAACGGCGCCCGCAUGAUUCGUGGUUGCGUCCUCCUUAAGAAAAGCAGAAAGCACCAGCAGAAGCUGGUCAACCACGCGCUUGCUCUGAGCCUCUGAACCCUUUUCCCUGCCACAAACACAAAUAGGUGAUGCUGUUCUUCAGAGGAUACAGUGCUGCCCAUGCCAUCACGCAUGUAAUGUUUCCACAUGGUACGUCGCAGUCGUCUGAUGAUCGAGCAUCAGAUCGACAGAAAGACCCAUCAAAAAAAUCAUCCUGCACUGCAAUUCUGCAAGACAACAGAUGCACAGCAAUGGCAAUUGUCAUGACAUUGCAAUCAAGAGCCUGAAUUCCUAUUGUUCGUGCUACAACAACAAAGAUGCAAUUAAGCAAGGCCUUGUUUAGUUCCUAAUUCGGGAUUGGCAAAAUUGGCAUUUUGCCAUAAAUACGCAACUGUAGCGUUUUGUUUGUAUUUGUGAAUUAUUGUCCAAAUAUUGACUAAUUAGGCUCAAAAGAUUCGUCUCGUAAAGUACAACAAAACUGUGCAAUUAGUUUUUGAUUUCGUCUACAUUUAGUACUCCAUGCAUGUACCGCAAGUUUGAUGUGACGGGGAAUCUUCUAUUUGCAUAGUGUCAAAGUUGGGAGUUUGGAGGCAACUAAACAUGGCCCAAGAUACCUUCCUUCUUAGCGUUCCCCAGCUCUCUGCUUCCUCUUCCUUCUGUCUCCACUCUACCCCGACGAGCAGGUGCCACCACCGGCACCACCUCGAUGGCGUUGAGCCUCUUGCCACCACAUGGCGCAGGUGCCCGCAUCGUCGAUGCCUCAGCUGGCGCUAGCUCUCGGCGGUGUGGUCGCCCUCUAAUCCGCUUCUCCUCUAGCGGUGCCCCUCCGGCUCUCCCAGGCCGGAACUACGAGAACCUCGAUCUGGGCCAUGGCUUGCUCGAGGGCGAAGGCCAAAGCUAAAUUCUUGUGCAAGGAUCUCGAUUCAGGUGAUGUGGAUCUCAAUUGCGGCACUAAGAAACUCGAAUUGGGUGAGGGAGAUCUCGAUUCAACAAUGACUCAAUGAGCACUUAAUUUGGGCGGCAGGGUACUCGAUUCUAGCGUUUCUCCAUUGGAUCGUCUCGCAGGCUCCGUGCCUUGGAUCUGCUCAAUAGAACACGAAUCAAGGGGGAAAAGGGAUGGCCUGAAUCGUCACAACAUGGGCGAUCGAUUUUUUACAGCCGGAACCAAAUUCUAUAAUAUAUGCCCAUGGAUUGAAGAUUUCUUUUAUGGGCAGGAGAUGAGGAGAGAAAAAUAGAGAUGUACCGUGCGUGCGAGGAAUACAGAUAAACGCUUCCCCUCCUUCACCGAGUAACCCUCGCUGCCGCUGGACUCGGAGUCGGAGUCGCCGAAGCCGGAGAACUCCGACGCGAAGCUCAUCCUUGCGCCGACGGCGCUGCCCUUGGACGCGACGGACGGGGAGCUCGCCGACUUCUGGCUCCGCUGUGGUGACCUCUUUCUGGACGACGCGCACGCGCCGGCAAUGCCGCCGAGGCAGAGGAGAAGCUUUUUCCUCUUUUAACCCCCUCCCAUUCCUUUUUUUUUCCACCUGAGCAUCCUCUCUUCAGCAUUUGGACUACGGGUUGAUUUCAGAAAAGCUGAGAAUUUUUUUUUAAAAUGAUCAUGACGGACAAAAAAUUACUUGCUUUAAUAUAAUAUAAGGUAUAUCUAAAAUUUUGGUGAAAGCAUUACUUGCUUUAAUAUAAUAUUAGGUAUAGAUAUAGAUAUAUGAAUUCAAAACAGCCAAAGUGCUGGGCGUGACGUGAAGAAGUUAUACGCUUCUUGGCUGGCCGUUGUGGCUGAUUUCGUAUAGGUCGGAAUAUUGGUGAACGUGACGCGGUGCAAUGAUUGUGUGCUUAAUUUAGGCAUCAACGCAUCACGAUGCUGCCUCUGAUGGCACUCCGUUACAAAUUGUAGGUUGUUUUAGAUUUUUUUAGAUUCAUAGAUAUUAUUAUGCAUCUACGUAUAGUGUAUGUCUAGGUGUAUAAUAAUAUCUAUAAAUCUAAAAAAUUAAAACGAUCUAUAAUUUGGAACCGAGGAAGUAUUGCUUAGAAUAUUGCACUAGCUAAUUAGCUAUCCUCACAAAUUUUUUUGUGUAGUUUACUCACAUGCUUUGAUGCUAAGCUGAUGCAUGCUGCCUGGCCAGUACGACGUAGGUCAUGCAUGACGGCCAAAGUAAACAGGAAGAACUUCACUUCUUACAGUAAGAUCAUGCAUUAUACAUGUUUGUUAAAUCGUCUUGAUGAUGCUACGAGAUGGCAUGUAGAAGCGGCACCGGUGUCGUCCUUACAAAUGUGUCGGUUUUUUACCAAACGUUAUGGCCAGGUAUUUGGCUGUGGGAAGACGAUCGCAGGGGCGGAGCCAGGAAUUAGACGCGGGGCCCAACGGCGGCAACAGUCACUAUUGGAGAAUUAGAAGACCUAAUUAAUUACUAGUGUUAACGUCAGAUUUUGACACGUGUGAAAUCGGCGACAAGAAAGGAAGAAAUCAGGAGACGCGGCAAAAUACAAUUGGAAAUCGGCCGAUUGGUGCUACAGUUGAGGAUCGGCCGAUUGGUGCUGCAGUGUUUCCGCGAAUAGAGUUGGUGGAAAUCGGCCGAUUAGGAGGCUGGAGCGAUUGGGCCGGUAUGGGAUUAAAGUGAAUUAUGAAGAUGAAGAGGGAGUCAGCCCAUGAGAGCGCGAUGAUCAACUCCAGUACGAAUCAUACUUGUAAAUAUUUAUUUUCGUUUAAAAUUAGAGAUAGAGUCCUAAUCGGUUAAGAAAUUGGUUGUAACAGGCUAUAAAUAGCCACCUUCGUAGAUCUGUAAAAAGCAUAAAAUCAAUACAACAAACUACUAUUCCCUUGCACUUACUUUUGAGCAGGCGACUUCGCCAAUACUUUCUUCUUUUCACGAGUUCGUACGGGUUGGCGGGACUGCAUCAACUUGAUCUCCGGCCGAUUCUGUAAGUUCCGCUUAUCGAGUAAUAUCUAAGCUUUAACUUCGGACGCAUCGCUGUCGUUUCGUUUAGAUUUAUUCACCAGUUAUCGAUAUUUACUAGAAUUCUAGGUUUUGCCUGUUGUUCUAGUUUUAUCACCGGUUAUCCAACUAGGAAUUGGAACUUUCGGCUCUCUUGUACUUCAUGACUUAAUCCAUUGCUUUCUGCAUAGCCGAUUCAGAUCUAUUCCUAGUGUUGUUACUGUAGCGUUGUUUAGAUUAUUCUAGCAGAUUUCUUUACUAACGCUGCCUAGUAAUCGGCUGCAUUAUAGCCGAUUUCUUUAUUACAGCAAAUCUGCCGAUUCGCUGAUAAGCUUUCUCGAGAUCGGAACCUUAGCCGAUCGCAACCUUUGGGAUCUGACACGUUUCUUUCCUUGCCAAUCAACAGGUCAGAUUGGCUGGCACGCCGCGCGAACCGCACCAGAGCGAUCACCCGAACAGGAGUUAAGCAGAUUCUCCCGGGUCAUGUGUCCGACGCUGGAGAUUCGAUCGGCCGAUUUCUAGCGCCAACAACUAGGAAAAACAUUAUUUUAAGGCUAAAUGAUAGUGAUUAUCCUAAAUAAUUAGUGAUUAGUCUAAAUAAUUGAUGAAUGGAUAAUUAGGGGGGGGGGGGCGCAUGGCCCCUGCCGAACCCGCGACGAUGGGUCAAUUCAUCAGCGACAGCUUGCAUCUGUUUAAACUUGUGAUACUAUAAAAGAUUUUAAUAAAGCAGUCAAAUGCCCGCUCCACGUGUUGAGUUGUUUGUAGGGGUUUUGUUACAAAGUUUUGGAAUACAUAUAGAGAAAAUCAAAAGAAAAAUAAACUUAUACAAUUGUAUCAAGCUAUUGAUUGAUAAAUCAAUGGUCUGUGAUCCUCUGUGAUGUGAUGUGAUGGAUUUACAUCCAUGCGCCUUAUGACGUGGCAUGGACCACUCCAGAUAGGAGGUGGGGCAUGCAUGCAUAUCUAAUAUAAAGAAUAUGGUGCAGGAUGACGUAGUUGAUCAUGCUAGAGAUAGAACUAGUUGGGUAGAUAGAAAGUAUUAUAUAAUAAGAAUAGGACUUAUCAGGUCUUAACCGACUAGGAUUCUUGUAACAACUGACCUGUAUCCCUACCUCUGUAUAUAUAUAAGGUAAGAUAGAGAUCCCUCUAAAGCAUUACACAACACAACACAACUCAAUACAAUUAUCCAAAUAGGAUGUAGGGUAUAUGCUAUUUAGCGGUCCGAACGUGUCUGUAUUCACCUUCGAGUUUCUGAUCUCAACAAAAUCCCUCCAACCAAUCUUCUAUUUCGGGUAUGCCUUGGUAGGUUACUGGUAUAAACACCGAUAGCUGAUAGCUGGUGCGUCAAGCAGGGAAUCUCGGCAACGAUCCCCUGGUGAUUUCGAUGCCAUCUGUCAUCCUCAAGUCCAACGUCGUGUUUCAAGAAGGAUGUGUCGCACCUAUUGAUUAUUCUAUUUUAAUUUGUCUGCUCAAUCAUGGAAUGCACACCAUGCUUGCUCAACAACUGUUACCUGAAUCGACUAUAUAUAUAUAUAUAUAUAUAUAUAUAUAUAUAUAUAUAUAUAUAUAUAUAUCAAAUGACAUGAUGACAAAUUCAUUGUUUAUAGUAGUGGGAUUGUGGGAGUAAUUAAUACUAGUAUAGCUUAGAAUAUUGCACUAGCUAAUUAGCUAUCCUCACGCACAUGCUUCAUGCUAGCUGGUGCUGCCUGGCCAGCAGUACGACGUCAUGCAUGACAUCGAAAUUAAACAGCAACUUUCAUCAAUUCACUUCGUACAAUAAUGUUAUAGAUGCAUUAUAGAUGUUUGUACGAUGCAUUAUAGAUGUUGUUUAUAGACGUUGUUUGUUAAAUCGCUUCAAUGAAGCUACGAGAUGGCAUGUAGAAGCGGCACCAGUGUCCUUGCAAAUGUGUUGGUUCUUGUACCAAGCGCCAUAUAUACUUGAUCUGUCCAAAAUUAUAGAUCAUUUAGUUUUUUCUAAAUUUAUAAUUUUUAUUAUGCAUUUAGAUUAAGCAAAAUUUAUGAAUCUAGAAAAUUAUACCGACCUAUAAUUUGAAAUGGAGAGAGUAAUAAUUAACAAGGAACCGACUCAUGGCUAGAUAUAUAUGCAUGGUUCAGUAGCUUGUUUGUGGACACAUAACAUAUUUUUUUGUUGUACAAAUAAAAUGAAAGUCUUGUCGUAUCUGGACUUUAUAUACAGGAGCGCACACUAGGAUGGGUCAAUUCAUCAGCAGCUUGCAUCUGUGUUACUGAUAUGCUAUGUACGAGUUUAACAAAGCAGUCAGAUGCCCGCGGGCUCCACGUGUUGAGUUGUUUAUUGUCAUCUGACGCGCGCGGUGCGCCGCGUGCAUGCACGUAUCGAUUAUUGUUCUAUUUUAAUUUGUCUGCUCAAUCAUGGAAUGCACACGACGCUAACGCAGCAUCAAUACCUGAAUCGAUUAUGGCCCCGUUUGUAUCCGUUUAUAAGCAGCUUAUCGGUGGAAAUAAGCGAGAAUCCCGUCAAACGCUUUGCUUAUUUCCACCGAUUCUCGCUUACGUGGUAAGCCGCUUCAACGAUUUGAACUACGAGAAGCGAAAAGCGAGAAGCGAGAAAUUUUCACUUAGAUUAUAAUCCAAGCGUGGCUAGGAAAAGCGUAUACAAACAGGACCUAUAUAUCUUGAUAUGAUAUGAUAUGAUGACAAAUUCAUUGUUUAUAGUAGUGGGAAUGUGGGAGUAAUUAAAUACUAGGUGAUAUGUUUUUUUAAGGAAAACUGCAGAAGAGGUCACACAAUGCUUCAUCUCUACAUUACAUGGGCUUUGUUAAUAAUCACGAAGUUUCGGAACACUUACAGAGAAAAUCAGAAGGAAUACAAACUUAAACAACUGUAUCGCUAUUGCUAGAUAAAUCAAUGGUCUGAGAUCCUCCUUGAUGUGACGUGACGGAUCUACAUCCAUGGGUCUAAUAACGUGGCAUGGACUACUCCGGAUAGGGUAGAACAUCCUGGCGUAUCUAACAUGCAGGACGAUGUACCUAAUCAAGAGAUAGAACUAGUUGUGUAGAUGGAAAGUACUAUGUAAUAAGAUUAGAACUUAUCAUGUCUUAACUGAUUAGUUGUAACAAACAACCUGUAACCCUUCCCUAGAUAUAUAAGACGAGGCAGAGACCCCUCUAAAGCAUCACACAACCCAAUGCAAUACAAUUCUCCAAACAUGACUAGGAUAAUACGCUAUAUAGUGGUCCGAACAUGUCUAAAUCAUGUCUGUGUUCACCUUCGAGUUCCGAUCUCGACAAAACCUCUCCAACCAAUCUUGUACCUCAGUGUAUCCCUCGGUAGGUUGCCGGUAGGGCUGGACGCCGAGCAAGCUCGGCUCGGCUCGGUUUCGUUCGUUAGUCUAACGAGCUAGCUCGGCUUGGCUCGUUAACAAAAACGAGUAAAAAGGCUGGCUCGUCUCGGCUCGUUAAUGGCUCUCGGCUCGUUAAUGGCUCGAACCAGCUCGUUACCUCGCGAGCUAGAUGUAAAUUUAAAAUUACCUCAUAUUAAAUAUAAAAAAUAAUCAUCAUAUAAACUUCUAAACUCUAAAAAUCAACAGUUGACCUUUCUCCAUGCAUAAUAACUUAAACUUUUUAGACAAAAUUAUAGAUGUAGGUUCUUGUAUAAUUGAAAUGCAUGCUGAGGCACAUGUGUUCAACACAAUUUUCCUGGAUGCCGGGAACCGCGUUAGUUGGAGGCUGCCAGGCCGUGAUUCGUCGCGCACGUGCGAAACGCCCUUUACCCGCGCAACGCCCGCUUCGCCACGCCGCUUCCACACCGCUUCCUAUAUAAGCAAACCCUAACACUCCCUAGUUUCUCAUCACCAAGCAAAAGCAUACAAAGCAACCAGCUAGUUCUCUGCUCUCACCAAAGAGUUCAGAGCUCGCCUCGAUCGAUCAGCUUCUUAAUUGGUCCGUCACUAGCGCCAUUUCCUACAUCCACAGCUCUCGAUCGAUCUCAAGCUAACGCCAUGGGCAGCUUGGACACCAACCCGGCAGCCUUCUCCGUCUUCGGCGACGAGGCCGCCGGCGGCUUCCAGCCGCUGAAUGCCGAGGACGUCCGCUCGUACCUCCACAAGGCCGUCGACUUCAUCUCCGACUACUACAAGUCCCUCGAGUCCCUGCCCGUGCUCCCCGACGUCAAGCCGGGGUACCUGCAGAACGAGCUGCAGGCGGCGCCGCCCACCAGCUCCGCCCCCUUCGACGUCGCCAUGAAGGAGCUCAGGGCCUCCGUCGUCCCCGGCAUGACCCACUGGGCCAGCCCCAACUUCUUCGCCUUCUUCCCCUCCACCAACAGCGCCGCCGCCAUCGCCGGCGACCUCAUCGCCUCGGCGAUGAACACCGUCGGGUUCACUUGGCAGGCCAACCCCGCCGCCACCGAGAUGGAGGUCCUCGCGCUCGACUGGCUCGCCCAGCUCCUCCGCCUCCCCGCGAGCUUAAUGAACCGCACCGCCGCCGGCCGCGGCACCGGCGGCGGCGUCAUCCUCGGCACCACCAGCGAGGCCAUGCUCGUCACGCUCGUCGCCGCGCGCGACGCCGCGCUGCGCCGGAGCGGGUCGGAGGGCGUCGCCGGCCUGCCGCGCCUCGCCGUCUACGCCGCCGACCAGACCCACUCCACCUUCUUCAAGGCGUGCCGCCUCGCCGGCUUCGACCCGGCCAACAUCCGCUCCAUCCCCACCGGCCCGGAGACGGACUACGCCCUCGACCCGGCGAAGCUCCUCGAGGUCAUGGAGGCCGACGUCGCCGCCGGCCUCGUGCCGACCUACAUCUGCGCCACCGUCGGCACCACCUCCUCCAACGCCGUCGACCCCGUCGGAGCCAUCGCCGACGCCGCCGCGCUGUUCAACGCGUGGGUGCACGUCGACGCCGCCUACGCCGGCAGCGCGUGCAUCUGCCCGGAGUUCCGGCACCACCUCGCCGGCGUCGAGCGCGUCGACUCCAUCAGCAUGAGCCCGCACAAGUGGCUGCUGACGUGCCUCGACUGCACCUGCCUGUGGGUCCGCGACACGCACCGGCUCACCGACUCGCUGGAGACCAACCCGGAGUACCUCAAGAACGACGCCAGCGACUCCGGCGCCGUCACCGACCUCAAGGACAUGCAGGUCGGCGUCGGCCGCCGAUUCCGGGGGCUCAAGCUCUGGAUGGUCAUGCGCACAUACGGCGCCGCCAAGCUCCAGGAGCACAUCCGCAGCGACGUUGCCAUGGCCAAGAUGUUCGAGGAAAAUGUCAGGUCCGAUGACAGGUUCGAGGUCGUCGUGCCGAGGAACUUCGCCCUUGUCUGUUUUAGGAUCAAGCCUCACGGCGGCAUGACGGAGGAGGACGCCGACGAGGCCAACCAUGAGCUCAUGGAACGCCUGAACAGGACCGGGAAGGCGU